UACGGAGGGUGCAAGCGUUAUCCGGAUUCACUGGGUUUAAAGGGUGCGUAGGUGGGAUGUGAAGUCAGUGGUGAAAUCUUCGAGCUUAACUCGGAAACUGCCUUUGAUACUAUCUGUCUUGAAUAUUGUGGAGGUAAGCGGAAUAUGUCAUGUAGCGGUGAAAUGCUUAGAUAUGACAUAGAACACCUAUUGCGAAGGCAGCUUACUACGCAUAUAUUGACGCUGAGGCACGAAAGCGUGGGGAUCAAACAGG
rnacentral:rRNA from 1 species